rnacentral:rRNA from 1 species
UACGGAGGGUGCAAGCGUUAUCCGGAUUCACUGGGUUUAAAGGGUGCGUAGGCGGGUUGGUAAGUCCGUGGUGAAAUCUCCGAGCUUAACUCGGAAACUGCCGUGGAUACUAUCAAUCUUGAAUAUCGUGGAGGUAAGCGGAAUAUGUCAUGUAGCGGUGAAAUGCUUAGAGAUGACAUAGAACACCAAUUGCGUAGGCAGCUUACUACACGAUCAUUGACGCUGAGGCACGAAAGCGUGGGAGCAAACAGG